UUUUAUGGUAAAUGAUCAUACAAGUUUAAUUUCAACCAGGACAUUUUUCCAAAACAUCAAAUGUAAAAGACCUUACAGCCAAAUUGCUCGAGGUGCGCAAAAGUUUCUUAACAUUUACACCAAAAAAAAAAUUGCUUGAGCUGCGCAAAAGUUUCAAUCAAAUAUAUAUGUUCUUGUACUGUUAGUAAUGUAUGUAGUGGUAAUAAAAUUUAUUGAUAUUAUAAAUUUUGAUCUCCAAUAAAAAAUGCAUAAAGAGUAUACAUUUCUUUCCUGCUGCUGAAUUUAUAUAAACUAAAGUUCCUUUUGACUGAAGAAGACCCCUUUAAAGUAAUGAACCUGAGCAACAAUUACAUUGUAAAACUUAAAUAAGCUUUAGUAUCCAACCCCACCUUCUGGUAUAAGAUAUAAAAACUUUUUGAGAGCGGUUGUUCUGUA
rnacentral:lncRNA from 1 species